UGAAUUGCAAAUUAACAAACAGAAAGAAAAACUCAAGUUGCAAAAAGAUAGUCACAGAGACAGCAGUAACACCUUCUGGCUACAGUCUAUUUUCGUCUUUCUCAUCCUAGUGUUAUCAAGAGAAAAACAGUCUUAGAUGCAGCAUAAAAAUUUCAGAGACAGAAGAGAUUUUCCUUUGAGGGCAGUAGAGGACCAAAAGAAGUACAAAAUUAAUUAUUCUUGACAGGACUUCAGUGACCAGCAAAUGCAUCUACUCUAUACUUGCCAGAUGUCAAGCUGGAACUCAGAGAAUACACCAUCUUUUGAGAAGAAGGAGCCCUGUGCUGUGAUAGAAUAUCCAGAGAAAUUCAGAGAACCUCAGGGAAGACAGAAAGCUGUGAGCUCAGCCAAUAACCAAAAGGAAGACUACCACAAAUGUAAGAAAUAAAUGGACUCUUGAAAUGCCUCUACUUAUAGUACUUCUUGAUUCUAAUUAUUAUUUUCUUUGUUCUAGAAGAUUUGGAGCCCAGUCAUUUAUUCCUUAGUCACGAUUCAGUUAAAUUAUUUUAUUUAAGGAUUUAAAGGGAAUUGAAUACUGUUGAAAGAGAGCUAAGCAUAUAUUUUAUUACUUUUUGAUACUUAGAGAGAAGAGAAAAACAGCUUUAGAAAAUAGAGGGCAGUGUAAGAAAUUCAACAUCAAAUAAUGUUCUUCAUAAGACAGAAGAGGUAUAUGAAGGUUAUGUUUCUGUGGGUUUUUUCACCUUUUUUGAAUGUUAUUUAACUGAAAUAGUUCACAUACUCUUUCUUUAACUUCUGUUUUAAAUUCAGGAAAGCAAGAGCAGCUUUGUUACAUAGGUAAACUUGUGUCAUGGGGGGUGGUUGUACAGAUUAUUUCAUCACCCAGGUAUUAAGCCUACUACCAAUGGUUAUUUUUCCUGAUCCUCUCCCAUCUCCCACCCUCCACUCUCUGAAAGGUCCCAGUAUGUGCUGUUCCCUUAUAUGUGUCUAUAUGUUCUCAUCAUUUAGCUCCUACUUAUAAGUGAUAAUUGCAGUAUUUGGUUUUCUGUUUCUGUAUUAAUUUGCUAAGGAUAAUGGCCUCCAAUUCUAUCUGUGUCUCAACAAAGGACAUGUUCUCAUUGUUUUCUAUGGCUGCGUAGUGUUCCAUGGUGUAUAUAUACCUCAUUUUCUUUAUUCAGUCUAUCACUGAUAUCAUUUAGGUUGAUUCCAUGUCCUUGCUACUGUGAAUAAUGCUGCAAUGAACAUAUGUGUGCAUGUGUCUUUAUGAUAGAAUGAUUUAUUUUUUCUUUGUGUAUAUUCCCAGUAAUGGUACUGCUGGGUUGAAUGGUAUUUCUGUCUUUAGGUCUUUGAAGAAUCGCCACACUGUCUUCCACAAACAUAGUAUUGACAUCAAUGUUUAAGAGAAUUUUCUCUAGCAUUGAUCAUUUAACAGACAAGAGAAAAAAAAAUACUUUGAAUUUUUAUCAUAGCUCAAUUGGUUCAGUUUUACUGUUUUGUUUAACUUCUACUUUUAUUAAAAACUUAUUUACAAUAUAAAUAAUUAUUGAAACACUGAUGAAAAUUUUAAAGGACAGGGCACAGUUUUAUCAAGUUGAAUCAGAUAAUGGCAAGAAAUUGAACUUAGACAAAAAUGGAUUGGAAUAUUUGUCAUAUCUUGGGAUUUGGGCCUGGAGAAUCCCAGUCCCAUAACCAGGUAUUAUUUAACUCUGAUUCGUGAAAUACUUAUGUGUAAAAUGAAGUGAUUAUUCUUUCAUAGAAUUAUUUAAAGAAUUGUAUGAGAUAAUUUAUUGAAAACCACAUAUUUAUCAAAUACUGUUUAAUUAUAAACAAAAUUGACUGUUAUACAUAUAUAUAACUAAGUAUCUUGUAACCACUAUAGUCGAUAUGGAAGCUUUUCAUGAACUGAUAUGCUAUUAGAUGGUCAACACAAGAAUUGAAUACAUUCUAUGCUCUUGUUUGUUUGAAAAGUCAAAAGAUAUAUAAGAUACAUAUGCACACACAAAUACACAUUCACAUACUUAUCUAUAAAACAAGUGCAAAAUUAAAAUUAGCCCUGGGAAAGAUACAUAAGAAACUGAUAUUGCUAGUUACCUCUGUAAAGAAUUGAGUGAAUUUGUCAAAUGUGAGAAAAAGAAUUUGCUUUGUGUCUUUUUAGAUUAUGAGCUAUGGGAAUGUAUUACCAAUACAAAGAUGAAUAAAUGAUGUUGAAAACUAAACAAAAUGCCUGUUUCCCUUUUCUUCUUAACUCUUUAAAAGGUCCUAAAUAAAGGAAAUUUAAUG
ensembl:lincRNA